GAAGAAGCCAUGAAUCUCUGGAAACAUUCUGGAAACCUAGGAUUGAAGUAUAAAAUCUGUAAGUACUGUCUCUCAACUCCUCUAGACAAAAAUCCUUUACAUACUCUGUGCCAGACACUAUACACACUGGGCACACAAAAGUGAAUAACAUCCAGUCUCUGAUCUCUUGCAAAUCAGGGAUACGGAUUAAUUUUAGAAAACAAUACAGAUCAGUUAUCUCAUAAUUACAAUAUCCUGUAAUUGGAGCUAUGGUAAAGUAAGCACAGAUACCAUCAACCAUUAGUCGAAAGGCCUCUCUCAGGGCAGGUGAGCUUCAAAGAGGUGCUCUUUGCUUUGGGAUGAUGCAGCCUGAACCAUCUAAUCUUCAGGAUUUUUAUUCAAGGCACAUACUGCGCAGCAUAUGCAGGAACUUUGCCAAUGUGGGAGAUUUUGCACCAAAACCUGGCCUACUCAGCUAGGGGGUAGGAGGGAGCUCCAGGAGAGACAGGAAAGUAAAGCUAAGGAUUCUUCCUAAGGUGUAAGACACGCCCCUCCCAACAGCCAAGUCUUUCCUUAUGCAUGCCCCCGCCUGCAAUAAGGUACAGCAACUGAAAAUGCCCUCUGUGGCCGGGCGCCGUGGCUCACGCCUUCAAUCCAAUUUAAUUUUAUACUCACAUGGAUAACACUUGUCCUAGCUUAAUUAUUGAAUUGUCCAUCUUUUCUAGCACUUGUUCUUCCUCUAUAAGAAGAUCUUGGUUUAUCUUGGCUCUUCCAUAUACAUUUUAGAAUCAUGUUGUGAAGGUCAAGAACCGUGAAGAUGCUGAAAUUUUUACCCUACUUACGAAACCAACAUGUUAGUUCCGUGGAUGGAGUUCCACGAUGCUGGAAGAAGACAUGAACUCCUGGGUCAGAGAUAAAGGACUUUACUUAAGGAAGAGCAAGCAGCGUGAGUUUUG
rnacentral:lncRNA from 1 species